AAAACCACCACAUAUUACUGGUGUUGAUACAAAAUGUCAUAGAUUUGAAAAACCACUUAGCGCUUCCUCAAAAGUUUAAAGUUACCACAUAACACCACAGUUUUCCUCCCAGAUAGGUAAGAACAUCGUCCACAAGAUAAUUAAAAAUAUAAGUCUACACAAACACUUAUGUUCAGAUGUUCACAGCAUAAUUAUUCAAAACAUCCCCAAAGUGGAAACAAUCCAAACUUCCAUCAGUUGUCAACUGAUGAAUGGGUAAAUAAAAUCUGGAAUAUUUAUACAAUUAAAUAUUAUUAAGCCACAAACAGAAAUAAAAUGCCAACAUGUGCUCCAUCAUUGAUAACUUUGAAAUCACUGUGCUAACUGAAAGAAUCCAGACACAAAGAUGGUGUAUUGUACGAUUCCAUCUAUGAGAAAUGUCGAGAAUAGGAAAAUUCAUGGAGAAAGCAGAUUACGAGUUAACCAAGGACUGCAGGUGAGGCUUCUGGGGAGUGACACUAACGGUUCUCUGGGGGUGAAGAAGUUUUUUGAAUUGGCUACUAUGGUCAUACACCUUGCUGUGAGUAUACUAAACACCACUGAGCUGAACACUACAGGAAUGAAUUCUACGACAUAUGAAUUAUGUUUCCAUUUGAAAGUGGACCAGAAUGUGGCUUGUACAGUGAGGGUCUGGUAUUGGUCCUCGGGUCUUAGGGGUCACAGCUGAGUGGCAGAUUGGUGGUGACAGAAAACCUGCUCUUACCUCCCAUGAGUCUGGCCUUUCACAGUGUUAUUGGAGGAGGAACUCACAAAUGGGAAUUCAUAUGAUGCGAUCUGGCUUCUUUGACUUAGUAGAAUGUCUGCCAGCUCACUUGGGUUGGGUUGUGUAUCGGUACCUCAUUUCUUGUUACGGUUGAGUGAUGCCCCAUGGUAUGAAUAUGCAUGAUUUUUGCUUAUGCUUUCAGCAGUUGAUGGACGUUUGGGUUGUUUCCACUGGGGAAUGCUAUGAAUAAUCACGCUAUGAAUCAAUUGCUCUUGGGGAAGGCACUUUCCCCCAACCCAGCUCUGCUCUCUGUCUCACUGGGGAGGUUUCAGGAUGUGGAAAUCUGUGCGUUUUCCUGAGUGCCCACCUUUUUUCAUUUUUAUUAGCCCUUGUCUUUGUGCUUUGUUAAAUCUCGCCUUUUCCCCAGUUUGGCUUGUUCUUCUGUUCACAGAUUUGAUCCCGUGGCUCCAGCUGGACAGCAGCUUUCACCAAUGAAGACAAGAGGGCAAAGCUCAGUCAGCGAUGGCAACACUCAUCCCUUCACGACCUGUGGUGACUUUCCACGUUAUCCAUGCCAUGAAGGUUGUCACCCUUGGCUCCAGGUUCCAUCUCCAUCUCCCGUGGAGCUGCCCCAGGGACACUUGAGGCUUCAGCAGUGAGGUUCCAGAAGGAAUGAACAGCUACCCGACCCAGCAGAACCAGGAGAUAACAGUUCGGGAUCCUCUCUGAGACCUGCAGAAGAGAUGCAUCACCCAGCUUGACCCGUGAUGACAGCAGGAUAAGAGCUGUGCAAAAUGAAACCAGAGAGGCAGGCACAGCCUGGCUAAGGAAGGCAGGGAAGCCCUUAGUGGGCAGAGGGGCAGCCAAGGGUGUGUGUGGGACCAAGUUUAGGUGCCUGGGCUGGAGCCCCUUUCAAGGAGGACUUGAAGAUUUGUUUGGGGCGAUAGAGUUGAUAUGAAGCGUUUCCCACAUGUGGUCGUUCAUUUUGGGAAUUUAGAGGGGAGAACCUAAAGGAAAGUAGACAUCUAACCGGCAGAAGAGUUAAACAAAAGGAGGUAAAAGAAAGGAAUCAGCAUGGGAAAAAUAAUACAAUGACAGGAUUCAGUAAGUAUCUUACAAUAACUCUCAACGUUUUUGGUCUUAACUCCCCAUUCAGAAGGCAGAUUGGCAGAUCAGAUCUAAAAAACCCAACCUUAUAUUGCUUUCGGAGGCACACCUCCUCUAAAAGGAAGUAUAAGCACUGAAAGUGACAGGAUGAAAAACAAUUCUCCAUGCCACUGGAGCACGGCAUACCAAAAUCUGCAGGACACGUUUAAUGCACACCUUAAAAGAAUUGAGUGAUCUCAAAUUGCUAAUGUAAUCAUGCAUCUAAAGGUUUUAGAAAAACAAGUACCAUCUAAAUCUGAAACUAGCAGAAGGCCAAAAAGUAUAACAACUCGGGUAGAAAUUAAUGAAAUAGAGACCAAAAGAAAAAAAUGAGUGAAUCCAUGAGUUGGUUCUUUGAAAGAAUAAACAAAUAUGAUAAAUCCUUAGCUAAACUUACCAAAAGGAGGGAGAAAACCCUGCAUAAAUGCAAUUAGAAGUGACAGAGGUGAAAUCACAACAGACAUAGCUGAAACCUAGACACUUAUAAGAAAUUAUUUUUGUAAACUUAUAUUCUAGUCAAUUACAGAACCUGGAAGAAAUAGAGAAAUUAUUAGAUACAUAUGAAUUACCCAGAUUAUCCAAGGAGAUAUCAAAAUGCUGAAUAGACCAAUAAUAGGGAAUGAAAUAGAGGCAGUAAUUAAAAAUAACCUGCUAAGAAAAAGCCAGGGCCUGAUGGACUCAUUGCAGAAUUUUACCAGAACUAAAUAUUCCUCAAACUUUUCCAUGAAAUCGAAAGGAAAGAAUCACUGCCAAACUGAUUCCUGGAAGCCAGCAUUACCUUGGCACCAAAACCAGACAAGAAGUUAAGGGAAAAAGGGAAGUGCAGGCCAAUGUCCUUAGUGAAAACAUAGAUGCAAAACUCCUCAACAAGGUCCUGGCAAACAAUGCAGUAAGUUAUUCAAAAGAUCAUACAGCAUGACCGAGUUGGUUUUAUCUGAGGGAUGCAAAGAUGGCCUAAUAUAUGGAAAUCAGAGAAUGUAAUAUAUCACAUAAACAGAAGCAAGGAGAGAAAUCACGUGAUCAUCUCAAGUGACGCAGAGAAGACCUUGGACAAAAUCUAAUGUCCAUUCAUGAUUUUUAAAAAGCUUGAUGAAAAUAGGUGUAUCUCAAAAUGAUAAAAGCCCUUUAUGACAAACCCCCUGCCAAUAUCACACUAAAAGGAGGACGGUUGAAAACAUUUCCUGUAAAAUCAGGAACAAGACAAGUGUGUUCCCUUUCACCACCCCUGCUCAAUAUAGUUCUCAAAAGUUUAUCCAGAGCAAUCAGGGAAGAGGAAAACAAAAGAGAUAUAUGUACAGGAAAGGAAAAAACUCU